rnacentral:rRNA from 1 species
CCGGCGUAAGCCGAGAGGAAGGCGGGGACGACGUCAAAUCAUCACGGCCCUUAUGUUUUGGGCCACACACGUGCUACAAUGGUCGGUACAAAAGGCAGCAACUGGGUGACCAGAAGCAAAUCUUUAAAGCCGAUCUCAGUUCGGAUUGGAGUCUGCAACUCGACUCUAUGAAGCUGGAAUCGCUAGUAAUCGUGCAUCAGCCAUGGCGCGGUGAAUAUGUUCCCGGGCCUUGUACACACCGCCCGUCAAGCCAUGGAAGUUUGAAGUACCUAAAAUCGGUGACCUUGAGAUAAGGAAACUGCCGAAGGUAAGUCGAAUAACUAGGGCU